ensembl:lncRNA
CUUGUUGGCUGCAGUGUUUCACAUAAGUGAACUGGUAGAUGACCCAUCUUUGGAGACAUUUGAGGUCAGGCUGGACAGGGCUCUGAGCACCUGAUCAAGCUGUGGGUGUCCCUGUUCGUUGCAGGGGAGAUGGACCAGAUCGCCUUUAAGUGUCCCUUCCAACUCAAGUGAUUCUGUGAACUGGGAGCCUGAGUUGUUCUUAUCUGCCAUCAAGCCUUCCUCCCACUGCCACCAACACAGGCAAAUCACUGUUGUUAUUAUCAGAUACUGCUAGUAUUGAGAACAGUUAAACAGUCUUCGCAGAAUAUAAUCAUCUCAAUUGAUGCUGAAUCUGAAGUUUCCAGUAUUAAAUCAGCAUCGAAACGUGCAAUUCUGAUUUCAAUUCUAUUUAUAUUUGCAUGGGGAAAAUCUGAAGUUGGUGUGGGAAAAACCUGUUCAUUCUGAUGGUCUCGUGCUCUGGAAUUACUUCUGCAGAACUGAAGAUAUCCUCCUGCCAGAGGUCCCUGAGGAGCACUGUAAAGACACAAUGCAGAGACAAGCCUGCAAUGCCAAGCCACCUUCAUCAUUGUCCUUCUGCUCCUCAGAUAAACCCAAGACCCUAAGAUGGGAAGUAUUGGGAGAAAAAAUAGAGGCAUGGCGAGGGAACAGCAGAAAAAUGUUCAUAAUGAGGUCAAAACACUGCUGGGCAGUGAUUCUGCUCCUGUUCCUGGGUACCGCCAAGCUCUUCUCGCACCCGCUGAAAUCUAAUGGAAACUGUUAAAUUUUGCAUAACAUCCAACUGAGUUCUGCCAGACCUCUGUGAACAGGAAGCAACAGGUUGAGCGCGAGCAGAGGGACCGCACAUCUCAAGUAAAGAAAUUGACUCAUUACUCUGCAGUACAGUCACCGGAGCCAUGUGGGGAUAGAAAACAAAGUGAUGAAUCAGGCCCAGCGUUUGCUGCAAGUUUAGACUGCUGUCUGGUUGGCAAAUAGCUCUGAAACCAGUCCCAGUGCUGCAUUCUGCCAAGGCUUCCAUAGCUGAUACGAAGAAGUCUGGAAAGCCACCUCCACGCCCUGAUGUAGCACUACAGCACAGCCCUGAAGUGGCAGCUGUGAAAUGCAGAACAGCCAGACAAAGCUGGUAACACGUUUGUACAGCCUGGGGUGUCAGGAGGAAUCAGCUCCACAGAGCGGACGAGGAGACAGAGAAGUGAAGUUUUUGGUUCUCUCCUUGGUUUACUACAUUGCGAAGCAAGCUGUCCUCGAGUCCUCUGGGAAGCCUUUCUGCACAACCAUUAUCCCUCUCUUCGAGUCUGAAAAGGAAUUACUGCACGUGAAUCUGGCGAGGUUUGGAGAAGCACUGAAGGGUUCUUGCAUUAUGGACGUCAAAGUGUGACCCCACGAUUGCCAGAGGCCACCUAGCACCUCCCUCCAGAAGCACGCAUGAAGCUAAGUAUUGUUGAGCAAAGAUGGGCCAACAAGGAUCCAAUAUGGAGAGACAUCACCACUUCAUCCUGUGAAGCCAGCCACUUUGCUGAGUAUCAGGUCUUGACCACAGAGGGUGGUUAGUGAGCAGCACUGCAGUACACACAACCCAACCUGCUGCAAAAUGACUCCCCCAGAUGGAUCCCCUCCAAUGAGGAUAAUAUAAGUCAGACAUUAGAAGGUGGGGCACAACGCCGUGCUUGGGAAGAUGCUUUCCUUUGAAAUAAGGCUGAGCUACGAGGAAAAUUGCCUGCACAAGAGAUUUGCUGAAUUUAAGUGUGCGGAGCUCUGGGACAGCUGUGGGGCAGACGAUGGAGCGGUGUUCUCACCC